CUUGUACACACCGCCCGUCACACCAUGGAAGUUGGUUCUACCUUAAGCCAGUCCGCCAACCGCAAGGGGGCAGCUGACCACGGUAGGGUCAAUGACUGGGGUG
rnacentral:rRNA from 1 species